CAGGCGAUAUUUAAUAUCCAAAUAUCAGAGUCUGAUCCACUCAAUGAAAAAUAAAUCUGCAUCAUAUACACAUCUUUUGAUGCUACACUUGCAUCCUUCUUCAAUCUUGCAAGAUAAUUCUUGCAAUUAUACUUUCAAUAUCCAAAUUUGCCAUAAAAUGAACAGAUGAUAUCCAUAUAGAUAUCAUUGCCUUCUCAUUAUUACUGACCAAUCCAAGGUCAGAAAUAUCUAGAGCAUUAGAGUUCUUCAUCGAUACGAACCUAACUU
rnacentral:lncRNA from 1 species